ensembl:lncRNA PCBP1-AS1 PCBP1 antisense RNA 1
GAACACAAAAUGGCGACACGUGGUUAGCAUUCGUCGCCAACGAGAAAUUGGGGUCGGCCCGAAAGCUCUAGAAUGCACCCCUCUUCCUCCCCGGGGCCUUCCACCUCCGCGAGUUUUAUGACUUAAAAAAGCCCACAGGCUGGUCUGAAGAGGAAGACAAACAUAAAGAUGAAGUGCUUAAUUCAAGGUCACACAAUGUCGGGGAUGGACCUCCAGAUUUCCUUACUGGAAAACAAGCUCAGGGCUCCCACUGAUUGUACAUUAUGAGACGGAGUCUUGCUAUGUUGCCCAGGCUGGUCUUGAACUCCUCACCUCAAGCGAUCCUCCCGUCUUGGCCUCCCAAGUGUCAGGAUUACGGGCAUGUGCUAUCACACCCAACCUGAUACAUUGCCUUUAUAAAUUUUUUUUUCUUUAUUCUAAAAACCAGAAAAAACAAAACUGGAUACAUGUGCAGAACAUGCAGGUGAGACGUGGUCUUGUAACACAGUGGUUAAGAAUGUGACUUUGGAGCCAGCCUGCUAGGGGCUGAAUUCUGACUCAGCCAUUUACUAACUGUGUGACCUUAGUCUCACUGUUGCUCAGGCUGGAGUGCAAUGGCAUGAUCUCGGCUCAUCACAACCUCUGCUUCCUGGGUUCAAGCGAUUCUCCUGCCUCAGCCUCCCGAGUACCUGGGACUACAGGCACUCGCCACCAUGCCCGGCUGAUUUUUGUAUUUUUAAUAGAGAUGGUUUCACUAUGUUGGCCAGGCUGGUCUCGAACUCCUGACCUUGUGAUCUGCCCACCUCAGCCUCGAAAAGUGCUGGGAUUACAGGCGUGAGCCACUGCGCCCAGCCUUGUAUUUUUUUUCAGUUUGGGUAGCUGUCCCUAAUUCAUUUGUUAAAGGAGAAGCAAGAGCAAGAACCUUUAAUCUGUUCUCCUCUUCCCUAAUUUGAAAGUAGCUUGUUAUUUUGAAUAUCACUUUCUCUGAAAUAGCACAUCUCCAUCUCAGAGAAUGGAUUUAAUGUUUGGAUACAGCCAAAAGUCAUUUCAUUACCAAACCAUGGGGUGAAUAUACCAUGUAAAGCAGUUUGGGAUCAGAACUCACAGUCUGAAUUGUAAGUGAUGAGACUGCUGUCUCUCUGCUACAGCUUCUUGGCUGGCUCUGAAGGCUCUUUGAAGGCAGAUCCUAACAAGGGGACUGCUUUGAAGGGCCAUUGUUCAUUUGGAAUGAUAAAGUCUAUGUUGUUCAAAAAACAAAUGCUUGUAGCAGGUAUUUUUUCACUCCAGACUGAGAAUAUUGGUGGGAUAUUGAUAAGGGGUACUGAAUGGUAAUAAACAUGUGCUCUAGCUCUGUGCUAGUCAGCUUAUUUCAGAACUCUAGUUUGAUUCAGUUUCUUGCCUCUGACUCAAAAUGGAGGGAGAGUGAUUUUUACAUAAGAGAACACACCCACAUAUCCUUUUGGCAGCAGCUACCUGCCAGAGAUGUUGAAGAAGAGUAGCCAACCUUUACACAGCAGAUAUUGUGUGCCAGUCAUAGUCCUAAGUAUAAUACCUUACAUGUAUAAACUUCUUAUAAGGUUGGUGCUCUGUACCGAAUUGAAUAGUAUCCCCCAAAAUUCAUGUUGUCCCAGAACCUAUGAAAGUGAUCUUACUUGAGGGAGGGGGGAGGGGGGAGGGAUAGCAUUAGGAGAUAUACCUAAUGCUAAAUGACGAGUUAAUGGGUGUAGCACACCAGCAUGGCACAUGUAUACAUAUGUAACUAACCUGCACAUUGUGCACAUGUACCCUAAAACUUAAAGUAUAAUAAUAAUAAAAUAAAAAAAAAAAAGAAAGUGAUCUUACUUGGAAAUAAGGUCUUUGCACAUAUGAUCAAGUUGAGAUGAAGUUGUACUGGAAAGUCUGUCUAGUGACUGGUGUUGUCAUAAGAAGAGAGGGACACAGAGGGAAGAUGGCCACAUGAAGAUGGAGGCAGAGAUUGCAGUUAUGCUGCUGCAAACUAAGGAAUGGCUCUGGCCCUCCAAGGAUUGCUGAUAACCACCAGAAACUAGAAGAGACAAGGAAGGAUUCUUCCCUAGAGCCUUCAGAGGGAGCAUGGCCCUACUGACACCUGGAUUUCAAACUUGUAGCUUCCUAAACUGCAAGAGAAUAAAUU